GAUGAACGCUGGCGGCGUGCCUAAUACAUGCAAGUCGAGCGAACAGACGAGGAUCUUGCUCCUCUGACGUUAGCGGCGGACGGGUGAGUAACACGUGUAUAACCUACCUAUAAGACUGGGAUAACUUCGGGAAACCGGAUCUAAUACCGGAGAAUAUAUUGAACCGCAGGGUUCAAUGGUGAAAGACGGUUUUGCUGUCACUAAUAGAUGGAUCCGCGCCGCAUUAGCUAGUUGGUAAGGUAACGGCUUACCAAGGCAACGAUGCGUAGCCGACCUGAGAGGGUGAUCGGCCACACUGGAACUGAGACACGGUCCAGACUCCUACGGGAGGCAGCAGUAGGGAAUGUUGCGCAAUGGGCGAAAGCUUGACGGAGCAACGCCGCGUGAGUGAUGAAGGUCUUCGGAUCGUAAAACUCUGUUAUUAGGGAAGAACAGCUGUGUCAGUAACUAUGGCCGUCUUGACGGUACCUAAUCAGAAAGCCCCGGCUAACUACGUG
rnacentral:rRNA from 1 species